UUAACUCAAAUUUGUAUGUAGUGGAAAUAUUUGCCUACGUUUGCCACUAGAGGCGCUGUUCCAACUGCAUACAAAUUUGAGUUA
rfam:Bombyx mori DNA, contig: Bm_scaf41_contig23495, strain: p50T/Dazao, build 2, whole genome shotgun sequence.